CCCUGAAUAUUUUUGUGAUACCCUGUAUACCUAUGAGCUGCUAACAGUCACCAAGAACCACCUGCUAAAAACUAAUAACUGCUAAUAACCACCAAUAACCACUCCAUAACUGCUCAUAAUUGCGUGAUUGAUACCAAUUAAUACUGAGUGGAACACACAAUCAAAAUAAGUUAAAGAAAUGUAAGAUAUAAAGUGCAAGAACUGAAACAAUGGUUCGUUAUUGUUUUGUAGAAUUGUGUAAAAACACAAGAUAUAAAGCAAAAGAAGCAAGUGAUUCGAAAUGUGUAUCAUUAUAUAUGUUUCCGAGCAAUCCUCAAUUUCGAGAGGAAUGGGUUCAAGCUUUACUACUCACUUUGAAUGGCCAGAACAGUGCUUUAAGCUUGCCAGAAAUGGCAUCGAUAUGUGCAGAGCAUUUUGAUAAAAAAUGCUUUUCAAAAAAUUACCAUUUGUGUCAUCAGAAAUUUAAAUAUCGGAAGUUUAUUUCAAAAUUUUUAUGCCCACAUUAAAGACAUUUGGACAGUA